CAAUCCUAAAAUUCAUAUGGAGCCACAAAAGAUCCCAAAUAGCCAAAGCUAUCUUGAGAAAGAAGACCAAAGAGGGAGGCAUCACACUCCUGAUUUCAAACUAUAUUAUAAAG